AAUAUCCUCGACGCGACUUUUUGUUACGUCGGAGUUUGGAGUGCUUGCCGAUGUCGAAUUCGUUUUCGCGCGGCUCCUCUUGAAUGCAUGGCAGCCUCGUUUUGUGAAUGCCACUGGCCGCGAUAAUUGUCUACGCCGUUUUGGUUGUUCGCGAACGGGUUGUGUUAGUGUUAAUGUUAGACC
rnacentral:misc_RNA from 1 species